AUUUUGGAGCCGGGUGGCGGAAUCGACUGGUCGCUGGUGGAAAAUCUGGUUGUGGGUCCCGGGCUGAUUCGUAUUUUUUUCCAGCGACAAGUCGAUUUCGCCACCCGGCUCCAAAAUC
rnacentral:pre_miRNA from 1 species